AGUGAACGCUGGCGGUAGGCCUAACACAUGCAAGUCGAACGGCAGCACAGUAAGAGCUUGCUCUUACGGGUGGCGAGUGGCGGACGGGUGAGGAAUACAUCGGAAUCUACUUUUUCGUGGGGGAUAACGUAGGGAAACUUACGCUAAUACCGCAUACGACCUACGGGUGAAAGCAGGGGAGCUUCGGACCUUGCGCGAUUGAAUGAGCCGAUGUCGGAUUAGCUAGUUGGCGGGGUAAAGGCACACCAAGGCGACGAUCCGUAGCUGGUCUGAGAGGAUGAUCAGCCACACUGGAACUGAGACACGGUCCAGACUCCUACGGGAGGCAGCAGUGGGGAAUAUUGGACAAUGGGCGCAAGCCUGAUCCAGCCAUGCCGCGUGGGUGAAGAAGGCCUUCGGGUUGUAAAGCCCUUUUGUUGGGAAAGAAAAGCAGCAGGUUAAUACCCCGCUGCUCUGACGGUACCCAAAGAAUAAGCACCGGCUAACUUCGUG
rnacentral:rRNA from 1 species